rnacentral:rRNA from 1 species
ACUGUUUGGACGAGGGGCCCCUCUCGGGUUACCGAAUUCAGACAAACUCCGAAUGCCAAUUAAUUUAACUUGGGAGUCAGAACAUGGGUGAUAAGGUCCGUGUUCGAAAGGGAAACAGCCCAGACCACCAGCUAAGGUCCCAAAAUAUAUGUUAAGUGGAAAAGGAUGUGGCGUUGCCCAGACAACUAGGAUGUUGGCUUAGAAGCAGCCAUCAUUUAAAGAGUGCGUAAUAGCUCACUAGUCGAGUGACACUGCGCCGAAAAUGUACCGGGGCUAAACAUAUUACCGAAGCUGUGGAUUGUCCUUUGGACAAUGGUAGGAGAGCGUUCUAAGGGCGUUGAAGCAUGAUCGUAAGGACAUGUGGAGCGCUUAGAAGUGAGAAUGCCGGUGUGAGUAGCGAAAGACGGGUGAGAAUCCCGUCCACCGAUUGACUAAGGUUUCCAGAGGAAGGCUCGUCCGCUCUGGGUUAGUCGGGUCCUAAGCUGAGGCCGACAGGCGUAGGCGAUGGAUAACAGGUUGAUAUUCCUGUACCACCUAUA